AAUGAACGCUGGCGGCGUGCCUAAUACAUGCAAGUCGAACGAACAGAUGAGGAGCUUGCUCCUCUGACUUUAGCGGCGGACGGGUGAGUAACACGUGGAUAACCUACCUAUACGACUGGGAUAACUUCGGGAAACCGGAUCUACUACCGGAUAAUAUAUUGAACCGCAUGGUUCAAUAGUUAAAGACGGUUUUUCUUUCGCUUAUAGAUGGAUCCGCGCUGCAUUAGCUAGUUGUUAAGGUAACGGCUUACCAAGGCAACGAGGCAAAGCCGACCUGAGCGGGAGGACGGACACACGAGAAGUGAGACACGGCCGAGACUCCGACGGGAGGCAGCAGUAGGGAAUCUUCCGCGAUGGGCGAAAGCCUGACGGAGCAAAGCCGGGUGAGUGAUGAAGGUCUUAGGAUGGUAAAACUCUGUUAUCAGGGGAGAACAAAUGUGUAAGUAACUAUGCACAUCUUGACGGUACCUAAUCAGAAAGCCACGGCUAACUACGUG
rnacentral:rRNA from 1 species